rnacentral:rRNA from 1 species
GUAGUUGACUCCGUGGCUACGAGGACAACGCUGGCGGCGUGCUUAACACAUGCAAGUCGAACGAUGAAGGGGAGCUUGCUUCCUGGAUUAGUGGCGAACGGGUGAGUAACACGUGAGUAACCUGCCCUGGACUCUGGGAUAACUGCGGGAAACUGUAGCUAAUACCGGAUAUGACCUGGGAUCGCAUGAUUCUUGGUGGAAAGUUUUUCGGUCUGGGGUGGACUCGCGGCCUAUCAGCUUGUUGGUGAGGUAAUGGCUCACCAAGGCGUCGACGGGUAGCCGGCCUGAGAGGGUGACCGGCCACACUGGGACUGAGACACGGCCCAGACUCCUACGGGAGGCAGCAGUGGGGAAUAUUGCACAAUGGGCGCAAGCCUGAUGCAGCAACGCCGCGUGGGGGAUGACGGCCUUCGGGUUGUAAACCUCUUUUAGUAAGGAAGAAGCCUUCGGGUGACGGUACUUGCAGAAAAAGCACCGGCUAACUACGUG